GUGCACCAGGCGAGAAUCUUCGGCAAUGGGCGAAAGCCUGACCGAGCGACGCCGCGUGCGGGAUGAAGGCCUUCGGGUUGUAAACCGCUGUCAGAGGGGAGGAAAUGUCAGGGGGUCACCUCCUGGCUUGACCUAUCCUCAGAGGAAGGACGGGCUAAGUUCGUGCCAGCAGCCGCGGUAAGACGAACCGUCCAAACGUUAUUCGGAAUUACUGGGCUUAAAGGGUGCGUAGGCGGCCGUGCAAGUCGGGUGUGAAAUCCCUCGGCUCAACCGAGGAACUGCGCCCGAUACUGCUCGGCUAGAGGGAGACAGAGGUGAGCGGAACUUGCGGUGGAGCGGUGAAAUGCGUUGAUAUCGCAAGGAACACCCGUGGCGAAAGCGGCUCACUGGGUCUCUUCUGACGCUGAGGCACGAAAGCUAGGGGAGCGAACGGGAUUAGAUACCCCGGUAGU
rnacentral:rRNA from 1 species